rnacentral:rRNA from 1 species
UCGAGUCUUUGAACGCAAGUUGCGCCCGAAGCCUUUACGGUCGAGGGCACGCCUGCCUGGGCGUCA